UACGUGGGGUGCGAGCGUUAAUCGGAAUUACUGGGCGUAAAGCGUGCGCAGGCGGUUUUGUAAGUCAGAUGUGAAAUCCCCGGGCUUAACCUGGGAACUGCAUUUGUGACUGCAAGACUAGAGUGCGGCAGUGGGGGGUAGAAUUCCACGUGUAGCAGUGAAAUGCGUAGAGAUGUGGAGGAAGACCGAUGGCGAAGGCAGCCCCCUGGGUCGACACUGACGCUGAGGCGCGAAAGCGUGGGGAGCAAACAGG
rnacentral:rRNA from 1 species